CCGACUAAUUUUUGUAUUUUUGGUAGAGAUGGGAUUUCACCAUGAUGGCCAGGCUGGUCUCAAAGGGAAAAUUUCAUAUAGCAAAGUGGAAAGAAUUUUACAGUAAACUUCUGUAUACCACUACUUGUAUUCUACCAUUAGCAUUUUAUACUAACAAUGGAUUUGGAAAAUUUAAGUAUGACUUACAGAAAUGGAUGGUGAGGGGAAUAUAUAGUAGGGAAAAUGUACUUAAUUCCUCACCUUUCAUAUCACAGGUUAGUAGUAGAGAGGCUCGAAAGCUAACAAAUCAAGAAACAAUAAGGGUAUAGUAUAUCAUGUAGAAUUAUAGAGAUAACUACCAUUUCAUUGAAAUGCAUAAAAAAAUAAGACGGACUAAUGGGUGGGUAGAGGGAUGAAUAUAGAGAUGUACAAAUAAAGCAAAUACAGCAAAAUAUUAAUUUAGAAUCUAGGUGGCUGGUACGUGGGUGUUUACUAUGCAAGUCUUAAUUUUUCUGAUUAAAAUUUUUGUAAUAAAAUUCUGAUGCAAAUGUGGUUGAGAACGGUCACUACGUCUACAAAGAGACACUAAUGUUUACCAACAUCCAUGCUGCUCUCUGCUUGGUGCUCCGCAGUCCCCGGGCAUGUCAGUGGGGCUGUGUGACUGAGUCUGGCCAGCGGAACGUAAGUAGAAAUGAUGUGCGCCACUUCUAGGCCUGGCCCCUAAAACCUCGGGCAGGGUCCUCCACACGCCUUCUCUCCUGACUGCCGGCAGAUUCCGGGCAAUUUGGGAGCCAUAUGCUGGAGAGGAGCAUCCACCAGCCUGAGUCUCUAACAACCACCUGUUGAUGGCCCCCAACUCUCAACCAGAUGCGACAUGAGGCUGCCGGAGGGCCCCCAGCCGUGGGCGGGACUCACCGGCUGACCAGCUGCAGGCCUCCAGCCCCAGACGCUGAGAACCUCAGCUGCACAAGAUAGGCUGGAAAAACCCCACUGCGGGGAGGCGGGAGCCGAGUGCCCCCGGAAAGGCAAAAUCCUGCUCCUGUGAAGCUAGACCUAUCAGGACAAGAGAAACCUAGGACUAGCGCAGGACAGGAGCUUAAUAAGCAUUUUUUCGGUUGAAUGAAUGAAUGGAUGAACAAUUCGAGGAGGACAUGAAGAAAACGCUAACAAGGCCGUGCCCAUUAUCCAAAAUGAAUACUAUGGCUAAUAAUAAAAAUGCAUACCAAUCAUAAGUAGAAACUGUUCUGCCGCUGUCAGAAAUUACUAAAAUGGAAAUUACCCUGAACAACUUUCAUCCUUCAUCUGACAGUGAAAAUACUUAGAACAACUAAAUCUUGCAGUGAAAAUAUUUAGGACUAAUAAAACCAUUAGUGGCAUGA